rnacentral:rRNA from 1 species
GGAAACGAACUGCUAAUACCGCAUAAGCCCACGGCUCGGCAUCGAGCAGAGGGAAAAGGAAGCAAUCCGCUUUGAGAUGGCCUCGCGUCCGAUUAGCUAGUUGGUGAGGUAACGGCCCACCAAGGCGACGAUCGGUAGCCGGACUGAGAGGUUGAACGGCCACAUUGAGACUGAGACACGGCCCAGACUCCUACGGGAGGCAGCAUG